GCCGGUGUGCCGGGGGGCGCGGUGGUUCCGGCGACCUCGGUGGUCGUGGCGGUGGUGGUGGACGUCGAUGCUUGCGGUUCCGGUCGCGGCUCCGGUU
rnacentral:tRNA from 1 species